rnacentral:rRNA from 1 species
GCUUGUCUCAAAGAUUAAGCCAUGCAUGUCUAAGUAUAGUACCUUAUACUGCGAAACUGCGAAUGGCUCAUUAAAUCAGUUAUAAUUCAUUUGAUGGUACUUACUACUCGGAUAACCGUAGUAAUUCUAGAGCUAAUACAUGCGUAAAAUCCCGACUCUCGCGGGGAGGGAUGUAUUUAUUAGUUAAAAAGCCAAUGCGGGUUCUGCCCGGUUUUGUGGUGAAUCAUAGUAACUGUUCGAAUCGCAUGGCUUCACGCCGGCGAUAGUUCAUUCAAAUUUCUGCCCUAUCAGCUUUCGACGGUAGUGUAGUGGACUACCGUGGCGUUAACGGGUAACGGAGAAUUAGGGUUCGGUUCCGGAGAGGGAGCCUGAGAAACGGCUACCACAUCCAAGGAAGGCAGCAGG